AAAUUGAAGAGUUUGAUCAUGGCUCAGAUUGAACGCUGGCGGCAGGCCUAACACAUGCAAGUCGAACGGUAACAGGAAGCAGCUUGCUGCUUCGCUGACGAGUGGCGGACGGGUGAGUAAUGUCUGGGAAAACUGCCUGAUGGAGGGGGAUAACUACUGGAAACGGUAGCUAAUACCGCAUAACGUCGCAAGACCAAAGAGGGGGACCUUCGGGCCUCUUGCCAUCGG
rnacentral:rRNA from 1 species